GACGAACGCUGGCGGCGUGCUUAACACAUGCAAGUCGAGCGGUAAGGCCCUUUCGGGGGUACACGAGCGGCGAACGGGUGAGUAACACGUGGGUGACCUGCCCUCAGCUCUGGGAUAAGCCUGGGAAACCGGGUCUAAUACUGGAUAUGACUCCAUGACGCAUGUUGUGGGGUGGAAAGCCUUGUGCGGCUGAGGAUGGGCCCGCGGCCUAUCAGCUUGUUGGUGGGGUGAUGGCCUACCAAGGCGACGACGGGUAGCCGGCCUGGGAGGGCGACCGGCCACACUGGGACUGAGACACGGCCCAGACUCCUACGGGAGGCAGCAGUGGGGAAUCUUGCGCAAUGGGCGAAAGCCUGACGCAGCGACGCCGCGUGAGGGAUGACGGCCU
rnacentral:rRNA from 1 species